GAACUAGUGCAUGACCUUGCAUCUCUUAUGAGAAGUCACAGCUGUAUUCCGACAUUGACUGAUAAAGACAAGUGAACAGGCAAGCAGAGUCCCAUCCCCUCUUCAAAACAGGCCAGACAUUUUAACUCAUCUCACUGAAAAAUGAUUUGCUGCCAUCAUAAUUAAACACUUCUGGGUUUCUAUGACACAGUUCAAAACAACAGAAAACAAAAAAAACGAAGUGCCAGACAACUUCAGACUCCGAUCCAAGUGACAAGAGAAAGACUACCCUGUUAAACACCAACAUGGCACUAAACAGACAUCUCCCAAAUCUCUGCCUAGCUUGAAUGUUUGCAGAAGAGAUGUUAAUUGGCACACCGCACCGGGAGGAUCAGAGCAGAGAAGUGAAAGGAUCUGCUAUCUCCUCACGGUACAGCAAAGAACCUGAGCGAUUUCUGCUGUUUAGUGCAGCGCAUA